rnacentral:rRNA from 1 species
GAUGAACGCUGGCGGCGUGCCUAAUACAUGCAAGUCGAGCGAACAGAUGAGAAGCUUGCUUCUCUGAUGUUAGCGGCGGACGGGUGAGUAACACGUGGGUAACCAACCUAUAAGACUGGGAUAACUCCGGGAAACCGGGGCUAAUACCGGAUAAUAUUUUGAACCGCAUGGUUCAAUAGUGAGAGACGGUUUCGGCUGUCACUUAUAGAUGGACCCGCGCCGUAUUAGCUAGUUGGUAAGGUAACGGCUUACCAAGGCGACGAUGCGUAGCCGACCGGAGAGGGUGAUCGGCCACACUGGAACUAAGACACGGUCCAGACUCCUACGGGAGGCAGCAGUAGGGAAUCUUCUGCAAUGGGCGAAAGCCUGACGGAGCAACGCCGCGUGAGUGAUGAAGGUCUUCGGAUCGUAAAACUCUGUUGUUAGGGAAGAACAAAUUUGUUAGUAACUGAACAAGUCUUGACGGUACCUAACCAGAAAGCCACGGCUAACUACGUGCCAGCCGCCGCAGUAA